rnacentral:rRNA from 1 species
AGUGAACGCUGGCGGUAGGCCUAACACAUGCAAGUCGAACGGCAGCACAGUAAGAGCUUGCUCUUACGGGUGGCGAGUGGCGGACGGGUGAGGAAUACAUCGGAAUCUACUUUUUCGUGGGGGAUAACGUAGGGAAACUUACGCUAAUACCGCAUACGACCUACGGGUGAAAGCAGGGGAUCUUCGGACCUUGCGCGAUUGAAUGAGCCGAUGUCGGAUUAGCUAGUUGGCGGGGUAAAGGCCCACCAGGGCGACGAUCCGUAGCUGGUCUGAGAGGAUGAUCAGCCACACUGGAACUGAGACACGGUCCAGACUCCUACGGGAGGCAGCAGUGGGGAAUAUUGGACAAUGGGCGCAAGUCUGAUCCAGCCAUACCGCGUGGGUGAAGAAGGCCUUCGGGUUGUAAAGCCCUUUUGUUGGGAAAGAAAAGCAGCAGGUUAAUACCCCGCUGUUCUGACGGUACCCAAAGAAUAAGCACCGGCUAACUUCGUG